UCCGCAGGGGGCCUGCCAAGUCUGUCGUGAAAUCCCGGGGCUCAACCCCGGGUCUGCGGUGGAAACAGGCGGGCUGGAGUGUGUGAGGGGUAGACGGAACACCUGGUGUAGCGGUGGAAUGCGUGGAUAUCAGGUGGAACACCGAUGGCGAAGGCGGUCUACUGGCACACAACUGACCCUCAGGGACGAAAGCGUGGGUAGCAAACAG
rnacentral:rRNA from 1 species